rnacentral:rRNA from 1 species
AGGACGAACGCUGGCGGCGUGCUUAACACAUGCAAGUCGAGCGGAAAGGCCCUUCGGGGUACUCGAGCGGCGAACGGGUGAGUAACACGUGAGUAAUCUGCCCCUAGCUCUGGGAUAGCUCCGGGAAACCGGGAUUAAUACCAGAUACGACCACUUUAGACAUCUGUUGUGGUGGAAAGAAUUUCGGCUAGGGAUGAGCUCGCGGCCUAUCAGCUUGUUGGUGAGGUAACGGCUCACCAAGGCGACGACGGGUAGCCGGCCUGAGAGGGCGACCGGCCACACUGGGACUGAGACACGGCCCAGACUCCUACGGGAGGCAGCAGUGGGGAAUAUUGCGCAAUGGGCGAAAGCCUGACGCAGCGACGCCGCGUGGGGGAUGAAGGCCUCGGUUGUAACCCUUUCAGCAGGACGAAGCGAAGUGACGGUACCUGCAGAAGAAGCGCCGGCUAACUACGCGCCAGCAGCCGC